GACGAACCGCCCGAACGUUGUUCGGAUUCACUGGGCUUAAAGGGCGCGUAGGCGGGCGGCCAAGUCGGGGGUGAAAUCUUUCAGCUUAACUGGAAAAGAGCUUCCGAUACUGGCCGUCUGGAGGGAGGUAGGGCGUGCGGAACUGUGGGUGGAGCGGUGAAAUGCGUUGAUAUCCACAGGAACACCCGUGGCGAAGGCGGUUCUCUGGGACGGUACUGACGCUGAGGCGCGAAAGCCAGGGGAGCGAACGGG
rnacentral:rRNA from 1 species